rnacentral:lncRNA from 1 species
AGCGCCGCGGCCGGGAGGGACCGAGCGGGGAGCAAGGCCUGCGGGGAGGCGCAGGAUGGACGCGUUGGCUGUCAUGAUGUAGGACCUCCUGACCUAGAACCAUGCCCGGCGCAGGGAGAACAACGAGCUUACGGACCGGGUGCGGGGGCUGCUGUGCGAGAAAGCCUACCUGCUGGCCCGGGAGCGUUCGCCGGCCCACCUGGUGGCUUUCCCUGGACGUUUAACGGCGACUCCGCCCGGCCUCCCGACUUUUUGAUGCAGGCGUUCUCUUACAUGACUUUCUUCGAGGCUAGAUUCUCGAAAGACAUCCUGAAGGUGGCUUUCUUAAUUAGCUGCCUCACCGGCUGGCGGAGCAGUUCGUAGUCGCCUACAUCGAGAGGGAGAGCCCCGUCCUGGCUCAGUACUGGGGCUUCGUGGACGCGCUGUAGCGGGUCUUCGCCGUCGUGGGUAGGAAACAGUCGGGCCGGAUCCCCGGUGUCUGGGGAGCGGCUGCCGGCCGGGCCCGCGCGAGCCGCUUCACUCCUACAAGCCCGGCUCACUAGUUCCAAGCUGCUGGACUUUGACCCUCGCUGGGAAGCUUGAUCGCCGCCUGUUCUCGCCAAUCUCUAUGCCUUUGCACUGCCCAGCAACCCGGUCACUGCCCAGGACCUGUUAAAAGUUGAAUGGACCUCCCAGAAUCACGCCGCUGCCACCGCCGUUUCUAGAGACGGCUUUUGGCCACCUUUGAGAAUCAGGGUCAAACUUGGAAGGGCCUGCAUUUGUCACACUUCCUCGGACACUAAUUUGGAUAGUUCAGGCCCAGAGACGGCUUCCCGGGUUAGUGUGCCUGACAACACUGAAGAAAAAUUGUGACAUUUUCCUUCCCCAGAAUUACUUCGUUUUAUACAUUUCACUUCUCUUCUGAAAUCACAGCAAUGCCAGUUUGCGCCUUUUGGUCUGAGGAACGCAGGCCCUGGCCACUACCAGGAAAAAUUUCCUUGAUGGAGAACUAUCAAAGCAGUCAAAGCUAUCAAAAUAAAAAAGAAUUCUGAUUGGGUGCAGUGGCUCACACCUGUCAUUCCAGCACUUUGAGAGGCCAAGGUGGGCAGAUCACAUGAGGCCAGGAGUUCAAGACCAGCCUGGCCAACAUGGCAGAAACCCCAUCUCUACUAAAAAUACCAAAAUUAGCCGGGCAUGGUGGAACACACCUGCAAUCCCAGCUACUCGGGAGGCUGAGGCAAGAGAAUCGCUUGAACCUGGGAGGCAGAAGUUGCAGUGAAACAAGUUGGUGCCAAUGCAUUCCAGCCUGGAUGAUGGAGCGAGACUCUGUCUCAAGAAAAAAAAAACAAAAACAAAAACAGAACUCUGCCUCAUAGCGUCUUUUAAGUUAUACACUGGACCUAUCCUUUCCUCACUGACAGACAUUUUAAAAAUUUUUUGGUAAGGCCUAGUUCAUAUAAAAUGUAAUCCAAGCCAAAAGUUAACAAGAAUAAGGGGAGGAAAGGGGACUCCAAUAGCAGAGAAAGGUAUUUACCUGGGAUAUACACUGCAAGAAAAUCAAAGCUAUAAGAAACGUCCAUGAAUAGUAGCCAUAAGGCAUCAGAGUGAUAAAAUUCCUGUCCCUAGGAGGGAAUAUUGGAGUUUGCCAGAGAAACAGAAUGAGAGAGACAGAGAGGUUUAUUGUAGGAAUUGGCUCAUAUGAUUACGGAGGCUGAGAAGACCCACGAUCUGCCAUCUGCAAGCUGGAGAAUCAGGAAAGCUGGAGGUGUAAUUCAGUCAAGUCCAAUGGCCAGAGAAGCAAGUGUACUGAUAUCCAAGAGCAGGAGAAAAUAGAUGUCCCAGAACAAGCAGAGAGGCUGAUUUUGUCCUUCCUCUGCCUUUUUGUUUCAUAUGGGGCACUGAAUGGACUGAUGCCCAUCCACAUUAGUGAGGGUGGAUCUUCUUUACUCAGUCUACCAGUAGAAAUGUCAAUGACUUCCAGAAACACCCUCACCAACACACGUGGAAAUAAUGUUUUACCAGGUAUCUGGGCAUCCCUUGGUUCACUCAAGUUGACACAAAAUUAACCAUCACAGAAGGAGACUGGCCUUACUCUGAAAUUAGGAAACUAAAGAAGUGACCAGAAUGGAGACUAGGUAGAGACAACUAGUUCUCUACCAAACAUGUACAGUUAUUCGUUGGUAUCUGAAGGGGAUUGGUUCCAGGAACUCUCAGGGAUACCAAAAUCUGCAGGUGCUCAAGUCAUUUAUAUAAAAUAUUACAGUAUUUGCAUAUAACCUUUGCACAUCUUCCAUAUACUUUAAAUCAUCUCUACAUUACUUAUAAUAAUGAAUGUGUAAAUGCUAUGAAAAUAGUUACUACACUAUUGUUUAUUUGUAUUUUUAUUGAAUUGUUUUGGGGUGGGGGGCAGCUGUAUCUUUCUUAGUAAUAGAACCCCUGGUUUUAGCUGGGCACAUGACUGCCCUCAAUAAAGAUUAAAGUACCCCAGCCUUCCUUGAGAUUGUGGCCAUGUGACUGAACUUUAGACAGUGAGAUAUAAGCAGAUAUCUUCUGUGGCAGUGUUAGGAAACUAUUAAAGACAGUAAGAACAUU